AGGAAAAUGAUUUUUUUUUUAGUGUUAAAAAUUGGAUUCAUUCUAUACUAAAACAUUAUUUUUUUUCAAAAAAUAAAGGAGCUUAUUUUUUUAAUGAAAAAAAUGAAAAAGAUGAAAAAGAUCAGGCAAAUAAUAAUAUACUUAUUAAAGAAAUUUCAAAAAAAAAAAAUAAUUCAAUGAUUUUUAAUGUGUUAAAUAUCAAGGAUGAUAACAUGAACAACCGUGUUACACUCAAGGAAUCACACAAGGAGCUAUGUUGUGUUUUUGAAAAUAAUUUUUUAAAUUCCAAAACAUGUUCCGCUAUUAAUGUUAACUGUCGUACAGUGAAUAAUAGCAAAACUGAAAAUGUCAUUGGUGCGGUUUAUCAUGUGACGCAUGAUAUAGCAAAUGACAUAACACAUGGCACAAUAGUAACACACGACAUAAAGGAUAGUGUAUCAAAGUAUGUUAAUGAAACGGACGCUGUAAAAUAUAAAGAUGGAAUAAUAAAAAAAAGAGAAUAUGAUAUGUCAGCGAGUAACAGCAGCAAACCAAACGUUGACAAAAAAAGUAUUAACGACGUGGAUAAAUCAUCAAAAGAAAAGAAUUUAAAAGUUCGAGAAUUUAUAAAUUAUAUUAAUAGCAUAUUUUUAUCUUUAAAAAAAAUCGAAGACAUUGGGAAAUUAACUAAAUAUCUGGUAUUUAAUAAUAGUUUUGGUUUAUUAAAAAUAAUGAUAUUUUUUGUUUUAAUUUUUUUUAAUUUUUUUAUGUUUACUUUUGAUGCUAUAAUACAAGGUAUCAUUUUUUUUACAGCAUUAUAUUAUUUAAUAUUAUCAAAAAAGUCAGUAUUAAAUUUUUUAAAAGAUUUAUUAUUAGUAGUAGAUCCAUCUAGUAUUUUUUUUUAUAACAUAACCCAAAAUUUAAAAGCAAUCAUCAUAUGUACAUUAAAAAAAAUAUAUUUUUAUGCUAUGUACAUAUGGCUAAUUUUUUCAUUUUUUCAAUUUCCAAUUAUAUAUGUUCCUACAUUAAUGAGUAUUAUUUUGUCUUUAAUUCCUGUUAUAUCUCCUGAAAUCUUAAUUCUUAUUAUUAUAUUCGACUUAUGGAUUAUACAGAAAAAAAAAAUAUUAUCCAUUAUUUUAUUUAUGAUUAACUGUUUUAUUUAUUUAUAUUUUACCACUACCAUAUAUACUGAAAUACCUCAUACUCAUGCAUGGUUAGUUUCAUUAUCUGUGUUCUUAUCUAUUACUACUUUCGGUUCCAAAGGAUUGAUACUAGGCCCGCUAAUUGGAUCCAUUCCUAUCAUACUACACCAAACAGCCAUAAGUAAAAACAAAUAUAUUCAAAUGAUUACUAAAGCAAAUGAGAAAAAGCAGAGGAAAAAAAAACGAUUACACAGGGAAGCAUAUGUCACUGGGCAUUCAUACGGACAUAAAUACGUUGAAAUGUAUGAUACUGGUAGUGGUGGCGGAAGUAUAAGCAAUGGCGACAGCACUAGCAGUGAUAGUUGGGACAGUCAUUACGUUGGUAGUAACAGUAACAAUGACAAUGACAAUGACAGCAGUACCAGCAGUAGCAGUAGCAGUAGCAGUAGCAGUAGCAAUAGCAGUAGCAACAGCAUUAGCAGUAGCAACAGUAGCAACAGUAAAAGUAACAAUAACAAUAUUGUCCCAACCAUUAUAACGGACUGUGAAAAAAAAAAUCAUAAAAAACAGAGAGACCAUAGCAAGUCAAGACAUAAAAAUUUGUUGUUGAAAAAUAAAUUCCAUAAUUUAUAUAAAUUAAUAGAAAUAAAUAAUUGUCACCGUUUUACAAGCAACUUAAACGAAUCAAGAGAAAGCCAAUAUAAAGAUAAAAAACUGUAUAAUGACAUUUCAAUGAAAAAAAAUAGUAUAUCACAAGUUGAGCGAUUAAAUUAUGAAGAUGUUAUAUAUAC
ensembl:lncRNA